ACAUAUCAAUUAUCACUACGUGUCUUUCUCUGGUUAUAUGUCACUUUGUGUGUCUUCAUGUCAUCAGUGUUCUGCUGUUUCCUUUAGCAUUUCAUCUAGGUAAGGUUCUUCGGUUUUCAUUCAGUUCUUCUUGCAUCAUCUUUUUUCUCCUCAAGAUUGAAGUUCGGGAACCAAAUUUGGUCUAGGCGUGUGAAUAUACUAAAUUUGAUUUGGUGUGAAGUUGAGGAAGGAUUGCAGUUAUUACGAUUAAGGUAUCAACUACAGAAGUCUUACAGGCAGCUGAGUUACAUUCGGAGGGUGAUUUGAAGGAAUGGGUGACUGCUAUAGUGAAGCUUGAGGUGAAUGACCAUGGCGCUGCCGAUGUACAUUUUGAGGCUUUUCAGAUGAGUGAUAUGUGUGUUAGAUUGUUCAAGGAAGGCUGGUUUGAGACGGAUGUUAACGAUGAGAUUGAUCCAAAGCUUUCCAAGAUGAAGAAAGAUGUGGUGGUAGGAGUCAAGGACACAUGAGAAGUUGAUAAAGACUUCUUCUUGGUUGUUGUCAAGAUUGCGGAUUACCAGCGUAGUAUAUAAUACUUUUUUGCGAUAUGGAUGGCACCAUCCUUUUGUCUACUCGGCUACUAUAAAUAUUGAUGGCGGACACUUUUGUUGUUGAUAUCGUGGAUUUUGCUGCUAUUCUUGCAAACCGUCAGAUGUGCUCUCUGCCGCUGAAUAACGCUGAAAAAGGGCCAAAAUGUAGCAGUCAAAAUGGAGCAUGUAGAACGUAAAAUCUCGUGUUUCAAUGUAUGCACUAUCAUUAUAUUCAACUCACAAAAGUAUUGCAACGUUGGGCCCGUGCAAGCACGGGCAACUCUUACCUAUGCACUAUCAUUACAUUCAACUCACAAAAGUAUUGCAACGUUGGGCCCGUGCUUGCACGGGCAACUCUUACCUAGUAUAUACAUA